rnacentral:rRNA from 1 species
UACGGAGGGGACUAGCGUUGUUCGGAAUUACUGGGCGUAAAGCGCACGUAGGCGGAUCUGUAAGUCAGGGGUGAAAUCCCGGGGCUCAACCUCGGAACUGCCUUUGAUACUGCAAAUCUCGAGUCCGGAAGAGGUGAGUGGAAUUCCUAGUGUAGAGGUGAAAUUCGUAGAUAUUAGGAAGAACCCCAGUGGCGAAGGCGGCUCACUGGUCCGGUACUGACGCUGAGGUGCGAAAGCGUGGGGAGCAAACAGG